ACUGAACGCUGGCGGCAUGCCUUACAUAUGCAAGUCGAACGGCAGCAUGAUCUAGCUUGCUAGAUUGAUGGCGAGUGGCGAACGGGUGAGUAAUACAUCGGAACGUGCCCUGUAGUGGGGGAUAACUAGUCGACAGAUUAGCUAAUACCGCAUACGACCUGAGGGUGAAAGUGGGGGACCGCAAGGCCUCAUGCUAUAGGACGGGCCGAUGUCUGAUUAGCUAGUUGGUGAGGUAAAGGCUCACCAAGGCGACGAUCAGUAGCUGGUCUGAGAGGACGAUCAGCCACACUGGGACUGAGACACGGCCCAGACUCCUACGGGAGGCAGCAGUGGGGAAUUUUGGACAAUGGGGGCAACCCUGAUCCAGCAAUGCCGCGUGUGUGAAGAAGGCCUUCGGAUUGUAAAGCACUUUUGUCCGGAAAGAAAUCGCACUUACUAAUAUUAGGUGUGGAUGACGGUACCGGAAGAAUAAGGACCGGCUAACUACGUGCCAGCCGCCGCGGUAACAC
rnacentral:rRNA from 1 species